GACGAACGCUGGCGGCGUGCCUAAUACAUGCAAGUCGAGCGGAGUUGUUUUGAAAGCUUGCUUUCAAAACAACUUAGCGGCGGACGGGUGAGUAACACGUAGGCAACCCGCCCCUUAGACUGGGAUAACUACCGGAAACGGUAGCUAAUACCGGAUAAUUUCUUUUUUCUCCUGAAGAAAGAAUGAAAGACGGAGCAAUCUGUCACUGAGGGAUGGGCCUGCGGCGCAUUAGCUAGUUGGUGGGGUAACGGCCCACCAAGGCGACGAUGCGUAGCCGACCUGAGAGGGUGAACGGCCACACUGGGACUGAGACACGGCCCAGACUCCUACGGGAGGCAGCAGUAGGGAAUCUUCCGCAAUGGACGAAAGUCUGACGGAGCAACGCCGCGUGAGUGAUGAAGGUUUUCGGAUCGUAAAGCUCUGUUGCCAGGGAAGAACGUCCGGUAGAGUAACUGCUACCGGAGUGACGGUACCUGAGAAGAAAGCCCCGGCUAACUACGUGCCAGCAGCCGCGGUAAUACGUAGGGGGCAAGCGUUGUCCGGAAUUAUUGGGCGUAAAGCGCGCGCAGGCGGUCAUUU
rnacentral:rRNA from 1 species